rnacentral:rRNA from 1 species
AACGAACGCUGGCGGCAGGCUUAACACAUGCAAGUCGAACGCCCCGCAAGGGGAGUGGCAGACGGGUGAGUAACGCGUGGGAAUCUACCCAGUUCUACGGAACAACAGAGGGAAACUUCUGCUAAUACCGUAUACGCCCUACGGGGGAAAGAUUUAUCGGAAUUGGAUAAGCCCGCGUAAGAUUAGCUAGUUGGUGAGGUAAUGGCUCACCAAGGCGACGAUCUUUAGCUGGUCUGAGAGGAUGAUCAGCCACACUGGGACUGAGACACGGCCCAGACUCCUACGGGAGGCAGCAGUGGGGAAUAUUGGACAAUGGGCGCAAGCCUGAUCCAGCCAUGCCGCGUGAGUGAUGAAGGCCUUAGGGUUGUAAAGCUCUUUCAGUGGGGAAGAUAAUGACGGUACCCACAGAAGAAGCCCCGGCUAACUUCGUGCCAGCCGCCGCGGUAACAC